rnacentral:lncRNA from 1 species
GAAAACAGCUAUUGCUUAUCAGAGGAGUUAGCGUUGUUUAUUUCAGGGCUUUGAGAGUUAACCUCUUUGUCUACCUAUAAGUUUUCAGGCUCUGAACAUUGCAGGUGAAGCUCCUGGUGAAACAGAGUGGAUUCAGCUGGGCUUUGCCAACCAGCUGCAGUUGGCUAGCAGGUUGAAGUGUUUGAAGAGCGUGCCUCAGCUCCCUCUGUGGACGCUGCACGAGUGAGCCCUCAGCUUUGCAGUUCUGCACCAGUUUCACUCCUACACGCAAUGUUGGAAAGGCCAUAAUACACAGUCAGUGUUGCUUUCUUUUCAGACUGCUUUGCUUUGCUGAGGCUUCCUUUCUCUAGUCCCCAGGUUGUGCUCCUUUUUGGACUACAGUUAUUUUGUUUUUGUGGAAUAUCUUUGGCUGUGGGACCUUCCUGAGUGACAUGUCCAGGAUUUAGUGUCUGGUGUCCUGGAGUGUUGUUCCAGAAUACAGGUGCAAGCCAAGUGAUCUUCAUCUCUAAGACAGAUGCUCUGAAUGUGUGCGUGACUUGUCCCAUGUCAGCAAGGCACAGGCUGGUGUCCAGGAAUCUCAGCUGCCAGGUGGAUGCAUCUUCCUCUCUACCCUGUCCUGCACUUUUUUCUGCCAGGUGUGUUUUUUUUUGGUGGUGGUGGUGGGGGGUCUAUGUUAAUAACUGCUCAUUUAGACUUCAUGGAGAACAAAAUUUGGACAUAGAUGCGAUGGC